AGAUAAGACUUGUUUUAGUACAUUAUAUACUUCGAUCUAAAAAUGUCACAAAUUUUAAUGGUUUUUUCAAAAUUUGAAAUAAAAAAUUGAAUGAAAAAUUUUACAAAAUUUGAAGUUACUCUCAGGAGUUGCAAUUCUUGCGUACAAAUGCGACUGCUCAAUUGCUUUCAGUUUCCCAGAUGUGACGUUUUUAGUUCAUUUUAAAUUUUUCGAAGAACUUGUAUAAAACUUACAAAAUUUUAUGGUUCUUCAAAGUUUGUAUGAAACACUUGAAUAAAAAACUUUGCAAAAUUUUUAAUUACGAACCCUGUAAUUGGGUGCUGUCAGAGUACACUCAAAGAAUAGUUUUUUGGAGUUGUUGAAAAUUCGAAGCACCGGAGGUGCGGUACACGCUAGUUAUCAUCUAAUUCAUUUUGCAGAAUAUGAGUAGCUAGAAAUUGAGGGAAAGGGUUGAUCCAUCUCCGAUGGAUAUGAUGAUUUUUAUCUACUGAACAAAAACAAUAGUAAUAUAAUAAAUAAGUAGUAGCCCUGUUUUUAGGAGUGACCUCGUGGUCUGGGGAUACUGAGACCCAGCCAUCAGCUAACUAUUUUGCAUGUAAUUAAGUUAAUAUGCGCGUUCUGGCCGAUAGCCGAAAACAGUAAUGACCUUGUCGACCCGAUGUUAAUGUACCACACAUUGAACUGGCUUUGGUUGAGACGGAUAAAAGCAUGUGAAGCUGUGUUUAGACGGUUGCCAGUCGUUUCAUAACCUAGCUUUAUUUGCAGUCGGUAUGUACUUCCGGGCGAAUGUUACAACUUCCGGGCGAAUGUUUCAAUAGUUAAUUUGCUAUUUUUUGCAUCUUCCUUGCUUGUGUUUGCAAAGCGCAGCUUCGCCUCUGUGUUGGAAUUUCGCUAAAGCUUCAGAGGUCUUUGGUGCUUGGAAUUAGCAGAAAUUUGAGCAGGUCGAGACGAAUGAAAUUAGCAAAGUGGGAUCACUCAUAACAUUAUUUGAUUGCUGCUAAAAUGAGGUAGCUGAAAUAAUACUCUGAAGGCUGUUGACGAAACCAGGCGAAGUCAUGGAGUACAAAAAUGGUUAAGUUUAAUGCUACAAGCUCUGGUGGAUGAACCAUAGAUCAGGUUUGCUGGGAGAAAUUCGCACUGUUAGAGAGAUUGGUUCAGAUACCAAGGGUACCGUAAUACAGCUGCUGAUCAGAGCUGGAUGGUAAUAUUCCUUAUGAAACUAGAUACAUGUAUCUAUUCGAAGAAUGUCUAUGUAGUCUUCAUGAACUUAACUUAUGGAACUGGAAAUGUGUUUCUUCAAUUGAAUUAUGUCAAUUUUGUAAAUAAAUUAAUUUAAAAAUCAAGCGAUGCGUUGUCUUUCCUUCUUUUGAAUACAAAGAGAAAAAUGAAUCUAGAUAAAACUUAAGCUGGCGAGUCGUUUUAAAUUGUUAAUGUGUAAUAAAGUCUUAGAUGUUUUAUAAUGUAUAAUAUCAUCUGGUUCAAUAAUAUCAUCUGGU